CUACUGCCAUGAUGCCAGCUGCAGUGGGGCAGGCCCUGCUGGGACUGUGUGCUCCACAGAGCCAGCAGGAGCCAGGAACAGG
rnacentral:pre_miRNA from 1 species